rnacentral:rRNA from 1 species
CCGGUAAACGGCGGCCGUAACUAUAACGGUCCUAAGGUAGCGAAAUUCCUUGUCGGGUAAGUUCCGACCUGCACGAAUGGCGUAAUGAUGGCCAGGCUGUCUCCACCCGAGACUCAGUGAAAUUGAACUCGCUGUGAAGAUGCAGUGUACCCGCGGCAAGACGGAAAGACCCCGUGAACCUUUACUAUAGCUUGACACUGAACAUUGAGCCUUGAUGUGUAGGAUAGGUGGGAGGCUUUGAAGUGUGGACGCCAGUCUGCAUGGAGCCGACCUUGAAAUACCACCCUUUAAUGUUUGAUGUUCUAACGUUGGCCCGUAAUCCGGGUUGCGGACAGUGUCUGGUGGGUAGUUUGACUGGGGCGGUCUCCUCCUAAAGAGUAACGGAGGAGCACGAAGGUUGGCUAAUCCUGGUCGGACAUCAGGAGGUUAGUGCAAUGGCAUAAGCCAGCUUGACUGCGAGCGUGACGGCGCGAGCAGGUGCGAAAGCAGGUCAUAGUGAUCCGGUGGUUCUGAAUGGAAGGGCCAUCGCUCAACGGAUAAAAGGUACUCCGGGGAUAACAGGCUGAUACCGCCCAAGAGUUCAUAUCGACGGCGGUGUUUGGCACCUCGAUGUCGGCUCAUCACAUCCUGGGGCUGAAGUAGGUCCCAAGGGUAUGGCUGUUCGCCAUUUAAAGUGGUACGCGAGCUGGGUUUAGAACGUCGUGAGACAGUUCGGUCCCUAUCUGCCGUGGGCGCUGGAGAACUGAGGGGGGCUGCUCCUAGUACGAGAGGACCGGAGUGGACGCAUCACUGGUGUUCGGGUUGUCAUGCCAAUGGCACUGCCCGGUAGCUAAAUGCGGAAGAGAUAAGUGCUGAAAGCAUCUAAGCACGAAACUUGCCCCG